rnacentral:sRNA from 1 species
UUGGCAGCGAGAGAGAGAGAGAGACUUCUGUUUAUCCACAGGGCAGGUAAACACAGCCAGUAGCAGUACGGGCUUCCCCACAUUGCUCUUGCCAGUAUACCUCCACUCUGAACUGAAGCAAGCAUCUCUAGGGAUGAGAGGAUAGUUUCCAGGCUCCCUUAUUCAGUGGCCUCU